rnacentral:rRNA from 1 species
GAUGAACGCUGGCGGCGUGCCUAAUACAUGCAAGUCGAGCGAACGGACGAGAAGCUUGCUUCUCUGAUGUUAGCGGCGGACGGGUGAGUAACACGUGGAUAACCUACCUAUAAGACUGGGAUAACUUCGGGAAACCGGAGCUAAUACCGGAUAAUAUUUUGAACCGCAUGGUUCAAAAGUGAAAGACGGUCUUGCUGUCACUUAUAGAUGGAUCCGCGCUGCAUUAGCUAGUUGGUAAGGUAACGGCUUACCAAGGCAACGAUGCAUAGCCGACCUGAGAGGGUGAUCGGCCACACUGGAACUGAGACACGGUCCAGACUCCUACGGGAGGCAGCAGUAGGGAAUCUUCCGCAAUGGGCGAAAGCCUGACGGAGCAACGCCGCGUGAGUGAUGAAGGUCUUCGGAUCGUAAAACUCUGUUAUUAGGGAAGAACAUAUGUGUAAGUAACUGUGCACAUCUUGACGGUACCUAAUCAGAAAGCCACGGCUAACUACGUGCCAGCAGCCGCGGUAAUACGUAGGUGGCAAGCGUUAUCCGGAAUUAUUGGGCGUAAAGCGCGCGUAGGCGGUUUUUUAAGUCUGAUGUGAAAGCCCACGGCUCAACCCGUGGAGGGUCAUUGGAAACUGGAAAACUUGAGUGCAGAAGAGGAAAGUGGAAUUCCAUGUGUAGCGGUGAAAUGCGCAGAGAUAUGGAGGAACACCAGUGGCGAAGGCGACUUUCUGGUCUGUAACUGACGCUGAUGUGCGAAAGCGUGGGGAUCAAACAGGAUUAGAUACCCUGGUAGUCCACGCCGUAAACGAUGAGUGCUAAGUGUUAGGGGGUUUCCGCCCCUUAGUGCUGCAGCUAACGCAUUAAGCACUCCGCCUGGGGAGUACGACCGCAAGGUUGAAACUCAAAGGAAUUGACGGGGACCCGCACAAGCGGUGGAGCAUGUGGUUUAAUUCGAAGCAACGCGAAGAACCUUACCAAAUCUUGACAUCCUUUGACAACUCUAGAGAUAGAGCUUUCCCCUUCGGGGGACAAAGUGACAGGUGGUGCAUGGUUGUCGUCAGCUCGUGUCGUGAGAUGUUGGGUUAAGUCCCGCAACGAGCGCAACCCUUAAGCUUAGUUGCCAUCAUUAAGUUGGGCACUCUAAGUUGACUGCCGGUGACAAACCGGAGGAAGGUGGGGAUGACGUCAAAUCAUCAUGCCCCUUAUGAUUUGGGCUACACACGUGCUACAAUGGACAAUACAAAGGGCAGCGAAACCGUGAGGUCAAGCAAAUCCCAUAAAGUUGUUCUCAGUUCGGAUUGUAGUCUGCAACUCGACUACAUGAAGCUGGAAUCGCUAGUAAUCGUAGAUCAGCAUGCUACGGUGAAUACGUUCCCGGGUCU